rnacentral:rRNA from 1 species
UGGGGAAUCUUCCGCAAUGGACGAAAGUCUGACGGAGCAACGCCGCGUGUAUGACGAAGGCCUUCGGGUUGUAAAGUACUGUCUUUGGGGACGAACGGUAUCUAUGUAAAUAAUGCAGAUACAUGACGGUACCCAAGGAGGAAGCCCCGGCUAACUACGUGCCAGCAGCCGCGGUAAUACGUAGGGGGCGAGCGUUGUCCGGAAUCAUUGGGCGUAAAGGGCGCGUAGGCGGGUCAUUAAGUCUGGUGUGAAAGGCAGGGGCUCAACCCCUGGAAGGCACCGGAACUGGUUAUCUUGAGGACAGGAGAGGAAAGCGGAAUUCCACGUGUAGCGGUGAAAUGCGUAGAUAUGUGGAGGAACACCAGUGGCGAAGGCGGCUUUCUGGACUGUAACUGACGCUGAGGCGCGAAAGCGUGGGGAGCAAACAGGAUUAGAUACCCUGGUAGUCCACGCCGUAAACGAU